CCUACGGGUGGCAGCAGUGGGGAAUAUUGCACAAUGGGCGCAAGCCUGAUGCAGCCAUGCCGCGUGUGUGAAGAAGGCCUUCGGGUUGUAAAGCACUUUCAGCGGGGAGGAAGGCGUUAAGGUUAAUAACCUUGGCGAUUGACGUUACCCGCAGAAGAAGCACCGGCUAACUCCGUGCCAGCAGCCGCGGUAAUACGGAGGGUGCAAGCGUUAAUCGGAAUUACUGGGCGUAAAGCGCACGCAGGCGGUCUGUCAAGUCGGAUGUGAAAUCCCCGGGCUCAACCUGGGAACUGCAUUCGAAACUGGCAGGCUAGAGUCUUGUAGAGGGGGGUAGAAUUCCAGGUGUAGCGGUGAAAUGCGUAGAGAUCGGGAGGAAUACCGGUGGCGAAGGCGGCCCCCUGGACAAAGACUGACGCUCAGGUGCGAAAGCGUGGGGAGCAAACAGGAUUAGAUACUCGAGUAGUC
rnacentral:rRNA from 1 species